rnacentral:lncRNA from 1 species
GCACCAUCUAAUCAGCUGCCAGCACAGCUAAGAUAAAAGCAGACAGAGGAAUGUGGAAGAACUAGACUGGCUGAGUCUUCUGGCCUCAAUCUUUCUCCCUCACUGGAUGAUUCAUGCCUUGAACAUCAGUCUCCAAGUUCUUCAGCUUUUUGAAUCUUGGACUUACACCAGUGGUUUUCCAGGGGCUCUGGAGCCUUUGGCCACAGACUGAAGGCUGCACUGUUGGCUUUUCUACUUUUGAGGUUUUGGGACUCAGACUGUCUUCCUUGCUCCUCAGCUUGCAGAUGGCCUAUUGUGGGACUUCACUUUAUGUCUGUUGCCCCAUCAGUGCAGAAUUCCAAUGGGUCCACAAGUGUGGGCAUGCAACAAGACUCAAAGCAAGUACAAGCUCUUCCGGCAUAGCCCUCUAGGAAUUCCAGCUGAGAGCCUGCCAGUAGCCUACCAGGGCUCCUCCCCUUCCAGAUGCUGACCUCUCAUCUUUGUCACUUCCACAUCACAGACUGUCAAUAACUCCUAUAUGCUUUGGAGAAGAUGUCUACUAACUACUUGGCCUCCAGCCUCCACAUAACUCGAGAAUUUGACAAGUGUCUUGAAAGAAAAACUGAUGAUGGGUCAGGAUCAGUCUUCCCUGCUCAGUAGAUCCUUACCCCUCAAGUCUUUCCACUACUACAAGACACCAAAAGCUUUCCUGGUUUCUCUAUCUCCUCUACCUAGAGAAUACCAGGUUCUCAGACAUUAGCUCUAGGUCCAAAAUCAAGCCGGUUUUUCUUUUGCAGGGAAAAACUGGCCGAAUAGUGUUAACUCACUAGUCUUCCCCUUUCUGGAAUCUUGGCAUUUCUAGUUUUGGUUGCCCUAGCAGCUCUCCAAUGCCUUUAAACAGAUGUCUUCUGCUUCUAUUAGGCUUGUUCUUGGCUGAGGCCUUGGUCUGCUGGAAAAUACUGCCACAUACGCAGAAGUAGAAGUCUCUUGAGACAUCAUCUUAUUAGUUAUUUAUUGCCAUGUAACAAAUUACAUGGAAACUUAGUGACUUAAAGAAACAAUAAAAAUUUAUUAUCUCACAUUUUCUGUGCAUCAGAAUUCUGUGGGAUAGGAGCAGCAUAGCAGAUGGUUCUGGCAAAGAAUCUCUCAUAAGGUUGUAGCCCAAUGUUGCCUCGGGCUUGAGAAUGAGCUUCCAAAAGAGUUCACCCUCAUGACUGCCAAGCAGGUGCUGGCUAUUGUAAGAAAGUCUGUCCGUUUUCACACAGGCCUGUUACGAGUAUUUUCAUGACAUGGCAGGUGACUUCACCACAAUAAGGGAAGCAAGAACAGGAAAAAUGGAAGUGUGCAUGUCUUCUAUGACUGAGCCUUAGAAAUUACACUCUUUCCUUUCUGCAAUAUCCUAUUAGUUACGCAGAUCAGUCUUAUUAAAUGUAGAAGAAGAUACACAGAAAACAAACACCAGGGAACAGAAAUCAUUAUCAGUAAGGCCUAUCUAAAAGAAAAUUAUAUUUAAAAUAAAAUUCUUCAUAUAGAUGGAGAAAUUUAAGAAGUUGUUUUGCUGCAGUAAUGAUCAUUACAAAAUAACUACAAAGUUGUGCUUCUAGUGUUGGUUGCAAUUCUGCUCCUAUCUCAUGCACCUUCUUCAUUCAAGGAUCCAGGCUUGAAUAGCAACCUGCAUCUGGAAUAUGCUAUUCUGGUGACAGAGGGAAAUAAGAGCAAGAACCAUAGCACACAAAGGCCCUCAAUUGUUUACUUAGCUAUGGUAUACAUCACUUCUGCCUACAUUUCAUUGACCAAAGCAAGUCAUAUGGCCAAACCAGAUAACAAUGGAGUAUGAAAGUACAUUUCUCUAAUAGACAGGCACUGCUAGUACCAUGGUAAUCAUAGGGAUAUAUAUCAUAUUUCAGGGAAGUAAAGAAUGAAUAAUUAGGAUCAAUAAUAAAAUCUACCAUGAAUAUCUAGUAUGCACAAAGCAGUCAUAUAAUAAUAAAUUCUAUUUAAAAAGGGCAGCUCAGCUGGGUGCACAUAGCCACAUUUAUAAUUCUGGCUUCAGUCUUGAAAAGAAGAAAACUGUCAAACCAUUUCUACUUUUCGAGGCUUUUAAUUGUUUUCUCAUUUUUAGUCAUGUUUCAGUGAAAUACUUUGGAUAAUAUCAUGAUUACCAAAUCAGUAACUUCAUUUUUUAUUCUACUUUAAAAUUACAUUUAUUCUACUUUAUAAAUGAAGUAUGAAUCUGAUCCAAUUGUAUUCAAAUGACAUUCUAAAAAAAGUAUAUAGAAAAACAAACUGAGAACAAUCUAAGAAUGUUUUAUAAACUAUCUGGAAAGAUUGUUAGGUAUCAAUUGUGGAAAAAGAUUAGAAUCAAAUCUUAAAAUUUUUUACUUAGUAUUUUUCUAAUAAUUCAACAUUACUAAAAAUUAAAUUGAUACUAUAAUAAUUAAUGACCUUUAGUCCUGACAUGUAGAAUGUGUCCAUUCUCUGAGAUAAUACAAUGACAAAAUUAUUAUGCUUAAUACUACACCCAGAAAUAUUAUUUUUAGCAUCCAAACUAGAUUUUUCAUAUUUAUAAUUGUGCAUGGAAACAAUCUGAUAAUCAUAUUUUAAGACCAUAUAUUCUGACAUGGAGUUGCAGAACUGUGAUGAUCAUAAGCCUAUAUGUCUGAAAAGAAUACAUUGUGACUAAGACUUACACUAAACACAAAACAACACUGAUUUCUAGUAUCUUUUGCCAGAUAUACAGCUCUACUGUCCUUGUUUAGGUUUGCUGAUUCAAAUUUCUGUAAGAGUUGGGGUGGUCUUAUGAGGGUAGGAGGAAUUCUAUGCUAACAUUGGAAUGAAGCACAAGAAAAAUUAAAAGUUUUACAACCAUAUGGAAUGCAGUGACUUAUCACUUGAUAAAACAGAAUUUAACUGUUCAAGCCCUCAGCUAUGUAGUUUGGUUCAGCUCUAAUUAAUAAUAUUAAUUCCAUUCAUGUUCUUGGGUUCUAGUUUUCACAGCUUUCAUAAAACUAAUUCUAACUUUUAUACAAUUGAAUGUCCACAUAAGCCAGGCUAGCUAAUAUAUAUUAGUUUGAAAAAUUGCUUUUAUGUGAUACUUCACCCAAAUACUUUUUUUCUAUCUAAUAUCUCUAUCAACCAGGUAAGAAAUUGUUUUCACCAUGCAAUCUGUCAAAAUUACCAAUUUUACAAAAACAUUGGCAUCAAUUUUUCUUUUUCUUUUUCUUUAUUUCUUUUUUUCUGAGAUGGAGUCUGGCUCUGUGCCCAGGCUGGAGUGCAGUGGCGCGAUCUCGGCUCACUGCAAGCUCCGCCUCACGGGUUCACGUCAUUCUCCCGCCUCGGCCUCCC